rnacentral:rRNA from 1 species
GACGAACGCUGGCGGCGUGCUUAACACAUGCAAGUCGAACGGAAAGGCCUGCUUUCCCUUGUGGAUUGCGGGUACUCGAGUGGCGAACGGGUGAGUAACACGUGAGUGAUCUGCCCCCAACUUGGGUAUAAGCCUGGGAAACUGGGUCUAAUUCCCGAUAGGACUGCAGGGUGGUGCCUGUGGUGGAAAACGAUUUUCUAGUGGUUGGGGAUGAGCUCGCGGCCUAUCAGCUUGUUGGUGGGGUAAUGGCCUACCAAGGCGGCGACGGGUAGCCGGCCUGGGAGGGUGGACGGCCACAUUGGGCCGGGGCACCGGCCCGAGCCCCGCCGGGGGGCAGCAGUGGGGGAUAGUGCACAAUGGGGGGAAGCCUGGUGCCGGGCCGGCGCGGGGGGGAUGCCGGCCUUGGGGGUGUAAACUCCUUUCGGACGGGGGGAAGCCACCUGGUUGGAAGGGUGGGGCGGGUAGUGGUAGAAGAGGCACCGCCAACUUCCGG